AUUGAACGCUGGCGGCAGGCCUAACACAUGCAAGUCGAGCGGGGGUAGCAAUACCCUAGCGGCGAACGGGUGAGUAAUGCCUAGGAAUCUGCCUCGUAGUGGGGGACAACGUUUCGAAAGGAACGCUAAUACCGCAUACGUCCUACGGGAGAAAGUGGGGGAUCUUCGGACCUCACGCUAUGAGAUGAGCCUGGGUACGAUUAGCUAGUUGGUGGGGUAAGGGCUCACCAAGGCGACGAUCGUUAACUGGUCUGAGAGGAUGAUCAGUCACACUGGAACUGAGACACGGUCCAGACUCCUACGGGAGGCAGCAGUGGGGAAUAUUGGACAAUGGGGGAAACCCUGAUCCAGCCAUGCCGCGUGUGUGAAGAAGGCCUUCGGGUUGUAAAGCACUUUAAGCAGGGAGGAAGGUUUGCUGGUUAAUACCUGGCAAAAUUGACGUUACCUGCAGAAUAAGCACCGGCUAACUCUGUGCCAGCAGCCGCCGUAA
rnacentral:rRNA from 1 species